rnacentral:rRNA from 1 species
UACGGGGGGGGCAAGCGUUGUUCGGAAUUACUGGGCGUAAAGGGCUCGUAGGCGGCCAACUAAGUCAGACGUGAAAUCCCUCGGCUUAACCGGGGAACUGCGUCUGAUACUGGAUGGCUAGAGUUUGGGAGAGGGAUGCGGAAUUCCAGGUGUAGCGGUGAAGUGCGUAGAUAUCUGGAGGAACACCGGUGGCGAAGGCGGCACUCUGGGCCGGAACUGACGCUGAGGUGCGAAAGCGUGGGGAGCAAACAGG